rnacentral:rRNA from 1 species
ACGGCGAGUGAAGCGGCAACAGCUCAAAUUUGAAAUCUGGCUCUCGGGCCCGAGUUGUAAUUUGUAGAGGAUGCUUUUGAUGCGGUGCCUUCCGAGUUCCCUGGAACGGGACGCCAUAGAGGGUGAGAGCCCCGUCUGGUUGGAUGCCAAAUCUCUGUAAAGCUCCUUCGACGAGUCGAGUAGUUUGGGAAUGCUGCUCUAAAUGGGAGGUAUAUGUCUUCUAAAGCUAAAUACCGGCCAGAGACCGAUAGCGCACAAGUAGAGUGAUCGAAAGAUGAAAAGCACUUUGAAAAGAGAGUUAAAAAGUACGUGAAAUUGUUGAAAGGGAAGCGUUUAUGACCAGACUUGGGCUUGGUUAAUCAUCUGGGGUUCUCCCCAGUGCACUUUUCCAGUCCAGGCCAGCAUCAGUUUUCGCCGGGGGAUAAAGGCUUCGGGAAUGUGGCUCUCUCCGGGGAGUGUUAUAGCCCGUUGCGUAAUACCCUGGCGGGGACUGAGGUUCGCGCAUCUGCAAGGAUGCUGGCGUAAUGGUCAUCAACGACCCGUCUU